GGCAAGUUAGAACAUAGUGAUAUCUUCCAUCUAUGUAAGCAGUUGAAAAAAAAGCAUCUUGAUAUGUACUUUGAAAAAAAGGAGGGAGAGUUUCAGAAAAAAUGGAACAUUUGGAAGGAUGAGGAGUCACUUUCUUCUAUGUGCAACAUUGAUGACAAGAUUCAUCGUCUAAAGGUGUACUCUCUUGGGUGGGGUUCAACAAUAAUAACAGAUAAAACACAUAUGUGGAAUAUUGUGAAAAGAGAAAUUUUGGCUCAAAGAAAAUAUAG